UUGGGGACAGAACUGUGGGGACGCAGAAGGAGAGCACGAGCCGGAAAUGGAAAAGCCGGUACAAGCGUAUAGCAGUCAUGCAGGCAAAACCGCAUGAAAAAUGUAAAGCGUUAUGUGGAUCGAACAUUAGUAGAGAAGCGUGUGAGCCAGCUGCCAAGAAAAGCCGCUAUGCUUCAUAAGUACCCGUACCGUAAACCGACACAGGUGGAUGAGGAGAGAAUCCUAAGGCCGGCGGGAGAAGUGUUGUUAAGGAACUCGGCAAAAUGACUCCGUAACUUCGGGAGAAGGAGUGCCACAGAGAUGUGGCCGCAGAGAAAUGGCCCAAGCAACUGUUUAGCAAAAACACAGGUCUAUGCAAAACCGAAAGGUGAGGUAUAUGGGCUGACGCCUGCCCGGUGCUGGAAGGUAAGAGGAGAGGUUAGAGCAAUCGAAGCUUUGAAUUUAAGCCCCAGUAAACGGCGGCCGUAACAAUAACGGUCCUAAGGUAGCGAAAUUCCUUGUCGGGUAAGUUCCGACCCGCACGAAAGGCGUAAUGAUUUGGGCACUGUCUCAACAACACACCCGGUGAAAUUGAAAUACCAGUGAAGAUGCUGGUUACCUGCGCCAGGACGGAAAGACCCCAUGGAGCUUUACUCCAGUUUGAUACUGGGAUUCGGUACUGUCUGUACAGGAUAGGUGGGAGGCUAGGAAAUGGUGACGCCAGUUGCCAUGGAGCCAACCUUGGGAUACCACCCUUACAGUACUGGGUUUCUAACCAGCAGCCGUAACCCGGCUGGGGGACAAUGUCUGACGGGGAGUUUGACUGGGGCGGUCGCCUCCGAAAGAGUAUCGGAGGCGCUCAAAGGUUCCCUCAGAACGGUUGGAAACCGUUCGAAGAGUGCAAAGGCAGAAGGGAGCUUGACUGCGACACCGACGGGUGGAGCAGAUACGAAAGUAGGACUUAGUGAUCCGGUGGUAUAAAGUGGGAUUGCCAUCGCUCAACGGAUAAAAGCUACCCUGGGAUAACAGCUUAUCACUCCCAAGAGUUCACAUCGACGGAGUGGUUUGGCACCUCGAUGUCGGCUCAUCGCAUCCUGGAGCUGUAGCAGGUUCCAAGGGUUGGGCUGUUCGCCCAUUAAAGCGGUACGCGAGCUGGGUUCAGAACGUCGUGAGACAGUUCGGUCCCUAUCCGGCGUGGGCGUAGGAUAUUUGAGAGGAGCUGUCCUUAGUACGAGAGGACCGGGAUGGACAAACCUCUGGUGUAUCUGUUGUUUUACCAAAGGCAUGGCAGAGUAGCCAAGUUUGGCAGGGAUAAACGCUGAAGGCAUCUAAGCGUGAAGCCCCCCUCAAGAUAAGAUAUCCCAUCUUCGGAGUAAGACCCCUUGAAGACUACAAGGUUGAUAGGCUUUGUGUGUAAGUGCGGUAACGCACUCAGCUGAGAAGUACUAAUAGGUCGAGGACUUAU
rnacentral:rRNA from 1 species